rnacentral:rRNA from 1 species
UACGGAGGGAGCUAGCGUUGUUCGGAAUUACUGGGCGUAAAGCGCACGUAGGCGGACUAUUAAGUCAGGGGUGAAAUCCCGGGGCUCAACCCCGGAACUGCCUUUGAUACUGGUAGUCUCGAGUCCGGAAGAGGUGAGUGGAAUUCCGAGUGUAGAGGUGAAAUUCGUAGAUAUUCGGAGGAACACCAGUGGCGAAGGCGGCUCACUGGUCCGGUACUGACGCUAAAACGCGAAAGCGUGGGGAGCAAACAGG